AGAGUUUGAUCCUGGCUCAGAGUGAACGCUGGCGGCGUGCUUAACACAUGCAAGUCGAACGAGAACGGAUUAUAGCUUGCUAUAAUUGUCAGCUAAGUGGCGCACGGGUGAGUAAUAUAUAGGUAACAUGCCCUUUACAAAGAAAUAACAGUUGGAAACGACUGCUAAUGUCUUAUAUGCCUUUAAUACAUAAGUAUGCAAGGGAAAGAUUUAUCGGUAAAGGAUUGGCCUGUACGGUAUCAGCUAGUUGGUGAGGUAAAAGCUCACCAAGGCAAUGACGCCUAACUGGUUUGAGAGGAUGAUCAGUCACACUGGAACUGAGACACGGUCCAGACUCCUACGGGAGGCAGCAGUGGGGAAUAUUGCACAAUGGGGGAAACCCUGAUGCAGCAACGCCGCGUGGAGGAUGACACAUUUCGGUGCGUAAACUCCUUUUAUAUAGGAAGAUAAUGACGGUACUAUAUGAAUAAGCGCCGGCUAACUCCGUGCCAGCAGCCGCGGUAAUACGGAGGGCGCAAGCGUUACUCGGAAUCACUGGGCGUAAAGAGCGUGUAGGC
rnacentral:rRNA from 1 species